UCAGAAUAUAGUCAAAGGCACGGUGUCUGUCACAUCAAAGUCUCUCUUGCGCCAAGGAGAGAGGAUACAAGGACACCGUCCCCGAGAGUCACCCUAGAAUCGUCCAUGCUAUUGCUGGCAAGUGCCCAACAAUAGAAACGCCUGUAGAACUACAGUUGUCUGGUUUCAAGCUGCUAUUUCUGGAGCCUUCAUCUCCUCCUGCCACGUCCAGCUGCUCUAGAGGGGUCACUGCUUUGCUGCAAGUUGCUUGAAAACUCAGGGAUUUUUUGCGAGGGCGGUGAAGAGACUGGUCAUGCGGCAGUGUCCCCUAAGGCAGCGUCCCCAAGGCUAGGUGCAGCGUGCCUGGCCCAGAUUGGCUGAAGAGGCUCCUCCAUCACCAGCUGUGCUGCCUUAGGGAGGGCCACACGGCACAGUGUUUUGUUCUAGCCUGUGAUGCUUUGGAAGCUUU